CAGCAGCCGCGGUAAUACGUAGGUGGCAAGCGUUGUCCGGAAUUAUUGGGCGUAAAGCGCGCGCAGGCGGAUAGGUCAGUCUGUCUUAAAAGUUCGGGGCUUAACCCCGUGAUGGGAUGGAAACUGCCAAUCUAGAGUAUCGGAGAGGAAAGUGGAAUUCCUAGUGUAGCGGUGAAAUGCGUAGAUAUUAGGAAGAACACCAGUGGCGAAGGCGACUUUCUGGACGAAAACUGACGCUGAGGCGCGAAAGCCAGGGGAGCGAACGGGAUUAGAGACCCGAGUAGUCCCUGUCUCUUAUACA
rnacentral:rRNA from 1 species